rnacentral:rRNA from 1 species
GACGAACGCUGGCGGCGUGCCUAAUACAUGCAAGUAGAACGCUGAAGGAGGAGCUUGCUUCUCUGGAUGAGUUGCGAACGGGUGAGUAACGCGUAGGUAACCUGCCUGGUAGCGGGGGAUAACUAUUGGAAACGAUAGCUAAUACCGCAUAAUAGUAGAUGUUGCAUGACAUUUGCUUAAAAGGUGCAAUUGCAUCACUACCAGAUGGACCUGCGUUGUAUUAGCUAGUUGGUGGGGUAACGGCUCACCAAGGCGACGAUACAUAGCCGACCUGAGAGGGUGAUCGGCCACACUGGGACUGAGACACGGCCCAGACUCCUACGGGAGGCAGCAGUAGGGAAUCUUCGGCAAUGGACGGAAGUCUGACCGAGCAACGCCGCGUGAGUGAAGAAGGUUUUCGGAUCGUAAAGCUCUGUUGUAAGAGAAGAACGAGUGUGAGAGUGGAAAGUUCACACUGUGACGGUAUCUUACCGGAAAGGGACGGCUAACUACGUG